rnacentral:rRNA from 1 species
CCCCCAGUAAGGGCGACUGAACGGGGAGGAGCCCAGCGCGGAACCUCGCGCGCCUCACCGGCUGCGUCUGAGGAAUGUCGCGUUCCGGAGGGGCCUUCUCCGACCACACCGACCCCCCCCAAGUCCGCUUGAACGCGGCCACUGCCCACGGAGGGUGCGAGGCCCGUACGGGGAUUAGGAGUCGGGCGGUCGGACGGCCCCGUCCGUAGAGUCGGGUUGCCUACUAACGCAGCCCAAAGCAGGUGGUAAACUCCAUCUAAGGCUAAA